rnacentral:tRNA from 1 species
GUCGGGAUGGCGGAACAGGCAGACGCUUACGUUUGAGGGGCGUAUGGGGAAACCCGUGGGGGUUCGAGUCCCCCUCCCGACACCA